rnacentral:miRNA from 1 species
AGCUAUAAUGGUUGUCAUUUGUA